CGCACAGUAAACGAUGAAUACUAGCUGUUGGCGAUACACUGCCAGUGGCACAGCGAAAGCGUUAAGUAUUCCACCUGGGGAGUACGUUCGCAAGAAUGAAACUCAAAGGAAUUGACGGGGGCCCGCACAAGCGGAGGAACAUGUGGUUUAAUUCGAUGAUACGCGAGGAACCUUACCCGGGCUUGAAUUGCAUCUGAAUGUCGUGGAAACAUGGCAGCUAGCAAUAGCAGAUGUGAAGGUGC
rnacentral:rRNA from 1 species